CGGCGGUUAACCGUUGAAGGCUCAGCGCUCAGUAUCGUCGCUGCCGCCAAGGCGACAACAUCUGCCACUGAUUACCGACAUCAGCAACAUUACUCUUACCAUUACAACAGUACCACCUAGAGCACCUGACAAUGCUGCACGACAUCCUUCUCCAGCUGUUACUGCCAGUGUCACCGGACUGCCAGACGCUGAAGCAUUACAUUACGUCAACGUGUCCCAUGAAAGUUACUGCUAGGUGAAGAAAACCUUGCCCAACCGUCCUUGCCUCGACCGGGAAUCGAACCAGGGAUCCCAUUAUAAGACAAGGAAUUAAAUUACUACACCGCUGCUGCUGCUGCUGCUGCAGGAUGUCACUGCGAUUGUUCUCUGAACUAACAAUUACUGUUCUCUGAACUGUUUUUAUCUUGUAUUGAUUAACCUAUAUUAAUGGUCUUAGCAUUUUCAUUACAGUCCAAAAAUAAAGUUAUUACGUAUUAUGUUAUCAUGAUGACUUUUUAUUAUGUAAAUAAAUAUGCUUAUAUUUUAAGCUAAAAUUAAGGACUUGCUGCUGUACGUGUUAGUAAAAACAUAAAUUGUUUAAAAACAGCGCGUCAUGUCUCAAAACACUCGCUGGGUAAACACAUUGUUGUUUGUGUGAGCUGUAAUGAGCACACACACACAGGCCAGGUGAGCCACCACGGUGGAGGAGGAGCGUGUGUGCGCCAUUAAACACUUGUGUGCCCCCUGUGAGGUUUGAACUCACGACCCCUGGUUUACGAGACCAGUGCUCUACCACUGAGCUAAGGAGGCAGCUGUGUACAACCUACUCUAACUUAUCUAAUCGUUAUAGAGCUUUGUUACUAAGAACUUUUAACUGUUCUUUCAAGUUGUUGCAUUUUUAUACGUUUGUGUGUCCAUGUGAAAACGAUACUUUAUUAUUAUAACCAACAACGGAUGGAAGGACAUUACGUUGAACUUUACUAUAAAAAAAAAUCAUAGGUUCUAAAGGGGUUACAAGUUGUUAUUAUUUGUAAUUUGUAAUUAUUAUUAUUUGUAAUUUGCAAUUAUUCAUUAUAAAUUAUUAUUAUUAUAUUUUAAAUUUAUAAGGAUGUGAAUAAAAAUAUUUAAACUAUUGCAUGCUGCAGCAGUUAUUGAAGAAAAUCGUAAAAUUUAGUUGAUGAAAUGUGUAUUAGACAUUAGAAUAAACACAUUAAUCUGUAUAAUUAAUAUAAGCUAUUUUUUUUAUUAACACAUUUAGGUACAUCAGCAUUUGUGCAGCUACCCUAGAAUAUAUGGAGGCUAGUACAGCGUGUCAAAAAAAUAGCUAGUUAGCUUGCACUAGCAAACUUUGGGUGCAUUAUGAGGAUAUCAUAAAAAACACAAGUGUGUGAAUAAAGUAAUUGCAAAGCUCCAGGUACCUUAUGCCAACUGAUCUGAAAGGUCU